GUAGGGAAUAUUGCAAAAUGGGCGAAAGCCCGAUGCAGCAACGCCGCGUGGGCGAUGAAGGCCUUCGGGUCGUAAAGCCCUUUUUGAGGGGAUGAGGAAGGACAGUACCCUCAGAAUAAGCCUCGGCUAACUACGUGCCAGCAGCCGCGGUAAAACGUAGGAGGCGAGCGUUAUCCGGAUUUACUGGGCGUAAAGCGCGUGCAGGCGGAUUGGAGAGUUGGAUGUGAAAGCUCCCGGCUUAACUGGGAGAGGUCGUUCAAUACUUCCAGUCUUGAGUGCAGUAGAGNGAAGUGGAAUUCCGGGUGUAGUGGUGAAAUGCGUAGAUAUCCGGAGGAACACCAGUGGCGAAAGCGGCUUCCUGGACUGUAACUGACGCUCAGACGCGAAAGCUAGGGUAGCAAACG
rnacentral:rRNA from 1 species